rnacentral:lncRNA from 1 species
UUUUUCGAGUAGCUAAUGUCAAAUAUAUAUAGAGUUGAGCUAGAAUACUAUCGAUAGCAAACGAGCUCCGUUGCCACCGAUUUGUUUUCGCUGAUGGAGCCUUCAAAUUGACGAUCAGCAUCAUUGACCAUGAUCUAUACCACUUGAAGUGUUUAGAAAUCAAUUUUCAUAUAUUUUCAAUAUUGUUCUCUUAUCCAUCGAGUGGACACAAAAAUUAACGGUUGAAAAUGAAUAUUCUUUAAAAAAUGAUGAUAGGAGUCUUGUAAUCAAGAUCAAGGGUAUAGAUCUUGUUUUAAAUAGUUUAAAAAAUUUUCUAACGAAAAUUCAAUUGAUUUGGAUAUCUUUAUGCCGUUAAACGAGAAAACGGCUCAUAUCGACCAUUAAAAUUACAAAUUUUGAAACCCUUUGAUCAUUAGGCAAAUGAUUUCGAAAAGAUUUGAAAUUUGAUUUCUAAACACUUCAAGUGGUAUAAAUCAUGUUUAACGAUGUCGAUCGUCGAUUUGGAGGCUCUAUCAUCGAAAACAAAUGGAUGGCAACGGAGUCCGUUUGCUAUCGAUAGUAUUCUAACUCAACUCUCUCUCUCUCUCUAUAUAUAUAUAUAUAUA